rnacentral:rRNA from 1 species
UACAGAGGUCCCAAGCGUUGUUCGGAUUCACUGGGCGUAAAGGGUGCGUAGGCGGUCGGGUAGGUCACCUGUGAAAUCUCCUGGCUCAACUGGGAGCUUGCAGGCGAAACUGCCGUGCUGGAGUGUGGGAGAGGUGCGUGGAAUUCCUGGUGUAGCGGUGAAAUGCGUAGAUAUCAGGAGGAACACCUGUGGCGAAAGCGGCGCACUGGACCACAACUGACGCUGAGGCGCGAAAGCUAGGGGAGCAAACAGG